rnacentral:rRNA from 1 species
UACCAGCCCCCCGAGUGGUCGGGACGAUUAUUGGGCCUAAAGCAUCCGUAGCCGGUUUUACAAGUCCUCCGUUAAAUCCAGCUGCUUAACAGAUGGGCUGCGGAGGAUACUAUAAGACUAGGAGGCAGGAGAGGCAAGCGGUACUCAGUGGGUAGGGGUAAAAUCCGUUGAUCCAUUGAAGACCACCAGUGGCGAAGGCGGCUUGCCAGAAUGCGCUCGACGGUGAGGGAUGAAAGCUGGGGGAGCAAACCGG